GCUUAGAGUUUGAUCCUGGCUCAGAACGAACGCUGGCGGCAGGCUUCAUACAUGCAAGUCGCGCGAUUAAAGCCCCUUCGGGGGUGUAUAAAGCGGCGAACGGGUGAGUAACAGGUGGAUAAUCUACCUCCCGGCGGGGGACAACGGCUGGAAACGGCCGCUAAUACCGCGUACGGUUGGCGGUUGCAGGACCGCCAAAGAAAGGCGCCUUCAAGCGUCGCCGGGAGAUGAGUCCGCCCCCCAUUAGCUUGUUGGCGGGGUAACGGCCCACCAAGGCUCCGAUGGGUAGCCGAGCUGAGAGGUUGAUCGGCCACACUGGAACUGAGACACGGUCCAGACACCUACGGGUGGCAGCAGUAGGGAAUCUUGGGCAAUGAGCGAAAGCUUGACCCAGCCAUGCCGCGUGGAUGAUGAAGGCCUUCGGGUCGUAAAGUCCUUUUCUGAGAGAAGAACGACCGGGGUAGGAAAUGCCCUCGGCUUGACGGUAUCUCAGGAAUAAGCAACGGCUAACUCCGUGCCAGCAGCCGCGGUAAUACGGAGGUUGCGAGCGUUGUUCGGAUUAACUGGGCGUAAAGGGAGCGCAGGCGGCUAGGUAAGUCUGAAGUGAAAGCCCGGGGCUCAACCCCGGAGGGCCUUUGGAUACUGUCUGGCUUGAGUUCGUGAGAGGAGAGCGGAAUUCCAGGUGUAGCGGUGAAAUGCGUAGAUAUCUGGAGGAACACCCGUGGCGAAAGCGGCUCUCUGGCGCGAUACUGACGCUGAGGCUCGAAAGCGUGGGGAGCGAACAGGAUUAGAUACCCUGGUAGUCCACGCCGUAACGUUGUGUGCUAGGUGUUGGAGGUGUUGACCCCUUCAGUGCCGCAGCUAACGCAUUAAGCACACCGCCUGGGGAGUACGGUCGCAGGACUGAAACUCAAAGG
rnacentral:rRNA from 1 species